GCCCCCUUAGCUCAGUUGGUAGAGCAGCUGAUUUGUAAUCAGCAGGUCGGCGGUUCGAGUCCGUCAGGGGGCU
rnacentral:tRNA from 1 species